GAUGAACGCUGGCGGCGUGCCUAAUACAUGCAAGUCGAGCGAACAGACGAGGAGCUUGCUCCUCUGACGUUAGCGGCGGACGGGUGAGUAACACGUGGAUAACCUACCUAUAAGACUGGGAUAAUUUCGGGAAACCGGAGCUAAUACCGGAUAAUAUAUUGAACCGCAUGGUUUAAUAGUGAAAGACGGUUUUGCUGUCACUUAUAGAUGGAUCCGCGCCGCAUUAGCUAGUUGGUAAGGUAACGGCUUACCAAGGCAACGAUGCGUAGCCGACCUGAGAGGGUGAUCGGCCACACUGGAACUGAGACACGGUCCAGACUCCUACGGGAGGCAGCAGUAGGGAAUCUUCCGCAAUGGGCGAAAGCCUGACGGAGCAACGCCGCGUGAGUGAUGAAGGUCUUCGGAUCGUAAAACUCUGUUAUUAGGGAAGAACAAAUGUGUAAGUAACUAUGCACGUCUUGACGGUACCUAAUCAGAAAGCCACGGCUAACUACGUG
rnacentral:rRNA from 1 species